GGUGUGGCGCGUGCGCAAAGCGGCCCGUGGCCUCUGGCGGACGGGAGGGCGGAGCGACUGCGCAAAUCCGGAAAAAAAAAAAUGUCACCUGUGGUCUCAGGCUUUGAAAAGUGCUAGUGAUCAGAAGGACUAAUGUUGGACGAUGCUGUGUUGGGUCAACCUCAUCACAGGCAUUUCCAAUUUGGAGACAUAAAGAACUGAGAACUUGGGGAUCCACUGAGGUCUGAGGCAUGGUGGUACCAGAAGAAAUAAAGGGGCCUUCAGAAUGAAACUGGUCCCCCGUUGACAGUACUCUGACUUCUCCAUCAGGCUCGAUCAACAUGUCUACGGUGAGGUUGGUGACACUGUCUGCAGACCAUGCACAGGAUGAGACCAGUGAGUCCCACAGUGGGGGGCUGUCUUGAGACAGAAAGUCCUAGACUUCUCAAGGGCAUCCCUGACUCACCAAGGGGCACCGAGGACAGAUGACCAGAAGCACAUGGCACUGUGGCCGUCAGAGAGGAAAAGCUCACUCUGAAUCCAUUCCAAAGCCCGAGCCUGCUCUGCGGUUUUCACCAGAGCAGACAAUUUCAAAAGCACUCCAGCAGGACCUUCCUGGGCACAGAGAAGUACCUCAAACUCAACCCUGGCAGCUCCAUGAAAAUAACCAUUGAACUGGAAGAAAACGUUCUAAGUCAUUCUCAGAGCUAAGAAAAAAAUAUGUAAAUGAUUAAGACUUUCCAAUGAUCGUGGUGACGUGCUGUUACACUAAUUAGAAAAUAUGCCAACUGGAACCAGAAAAUGAAGCAUCCAGACUCAAUGUUUUGGUCAGAAUAAUCUCUACUUUAUCAAGCCUCUUUAUUGAACAUGGAGAAAGCUACAAUACACGUAUUGUUUUCUACUUUCAAAUGAGGUUCCUACAUCUUGAUCCUGAAUUUUCAAGGGUGACUAUGGCUUUUUAGCAUCUGACAACUCAUGUGACUGUGUUUCAAGUCUCAACUGCAACCAGCCAAAGAUGCUAUGUGCUCAUUCUAAAGAUCCCACCAACUCGGAAACAUGGAGAUAAAGUUGAAGAAACCACACCAACUUUCAUUAGAAGACCCAUCCUACUUGGUGUCCUUAUAAGGAUUGAUAUACUGAUGGAUAAUAAAAGAGCUUGGUCCCCACUGGACAGCUUCCAAAUGGACACAAACUAAGGAAACUUGGGGUACUUCUGCUGCUGUUUCUCCCGCUCCCCGUGAUUGUAUUUUCCCCGCAUGCCAACAGAAAGGUCCCGUCAGCAAUGCAAUCGCUGGGGAAACCUGCUGCUGCCCGUCUGACCCGUGUCGUCCGGACAUCUCCGACGAGAGGAAAGGCCUGCACGGGACCACACAUGGAAAAGCGAGUGUCAAAGUAGCCCUGCCCGUUAAGACUGCAAGUUUAUCACUCAUCAUUCCCAUCGCUGCUCUUUAUUCCCUCGCUGCAGAGCACUGUGCCAGUCUGUAGGCAUCCUUGUUUAAACACUGGCUGGGGUCAUAAGUGAAAUGAAGUUUGGUCCUCAUUUACCUCAUGCCAGCAGUUGGGUUGGCACACAGCUGCAGAACUGCUGGGGUCCUUUUUAUUUAAUUUGGCAUCCCUUCCUGAGCAGUACUGAGACUUUGCUUCAAUGACUCCACUGGGCCCUGCCAUAAUUUCUGCAUACCAUCAGAAAAGGCUGCGAAGAGAUGCACUUGAACUUGGUUUAAGGUGGACACAGGAGGCUUCAGAGCAAACCUAAAGACGGGCCUGCUGCACGUACCACGCAGGUGCUGGGGCUGACGUCAACAGAGAGUGAAACUCAGAUGCAAAUCAAAGAAUACAAAAAGAUACUGACUAAAUGUAGCAGUGAAAUGGACUUUAAGGAAUAGAAUUUGACCAUCUUAACACCAUGUGCAGGCCUAAGGGGUUGUCCUUUUUGUAGUUUUUCUUAGAAUAGCUUUCCUAACAUCUGAACAGUAUUGUCAAAACAAAAGAUCUCUCAGGCUCUGAGAGAGUCCUGUUUAUUGUGUGGGUUGGUCUUCUGGCUGACGCAGUGCAGUCCUGUUUCUGACAUGUAAAGUGAAGUCCAAGUAUGAUACGUGGGAACAGGGGCAUUUUGUGAAGGAGCUGAACACCAGCCAGCGUCCCCUCGUGUUCCUUAGAGCCCCAUUGUCCCAGGAACAGCAGUAGUGUCCACAGACAACACACCACUGCCGCUGCUGCCACAUCGAAUCACCAUGGAAACACACCUGUCGCUGAGGGUGUUUCCAGAUGUCUGAAUGAAAGAGGGGAGACCAUCCUGACUGAGGUGGCACCAUCCCACAGGCUGGGAUCUCGGACAGAAACAGAGGAGAAAGCCAGUGAGCAGCAGCAUUCAGCUCUCAGCUUCCUGACUGCAGACACGUGACCUCACACUUGGGCUGCCAUGCCUUCCUGCCAAGAUGGACUGUGCCUUCACAUGAUUUCAGAUCCCAGCUGCGUGGUGGUGGCGCACACCUUUAAUCCCAGCACUUGGGAGGCAGAGGCAGGCGGAUCUCUGUGAGUUUGCAGCCAGCCUGGUCUACAGCGUGAGAUCCAGGACAGGUGCAAAGUUACACAGAGAGAGAGGAAGAAGAAGAUUUCAGAUUGUAAUUUUACUCACUAAUAUUUCAUCACUGCUUCUAUAUUUUUUGAGAGGAAUCCUUCAAAAAAGAUUGAGAACCUCAUGGGUGUCCAUGUGAUAAUGGACCCGAAAGGCCAAUGGUAACUGUGUGACUGACACUGGAAGUGGAUCCUCGCCCAUCUCCCAGGCAGCUGCCUUCCCUUCCCUUCUCCAUGCUGUCUUAAAGGGGACUGUUCCAGUCAGCGCUGAGACUGCGAGAGACCCUGAGGCAGAGGCUCUUAGCAGGGCUGUGUCUAUAUGUAUUCCUGAGAACAAACUAUGAGAUAAUAAGUUCUGGUGUCCUAAGAUAUUAAGCCCAGAAUAUCUGUUACAAAGCAUUAAUAAUGGGCCGGGCAGUGGUGGGGCACACCUUUAAUCCCAGCACUCGGGAGGCAGAGCCAGGCGGAUCUUUGUGAGUUCGAGGCCAGCCUGGUCUACAGAAUGAGAUCCAGGAAAGGCGCAAAGCUACACAGAGAAACCCUGUCUCAAAAAAACAAAACAAACAAAAAAAAUUAAUAAUGAAUGCCUAGGUGGUACUCCAUCUAGGAAGUAAGGAUAAAAUUGUGGUGAAUAUGGAAUAACCUGAUAGGACAGAUACUCAUGUGUGCAAGGCUAGGGAGACGUGGGGAUGACAGGACAGGGUAACCUCUAUCAAAGGACAAGCAGUACCUGUGUCACUACCUUCAUGGUUGGGGACAGGGGAGGACAGAGUCAAUGCCUACUCAAAGCUCUGCUCCCCACUAGACAGCACUGGGACUUGACUCUGUCCACACCUCUCCAUGUCUCCUUGCACAGUUUCAGAACACUGCCUUUAUUGCUUACCAUCAGUCCCAUAUGCCAGGUCCAUAUUCAAAACACAAAGAAGAGUGAGUCACAGGGACUUAAGACUAACCACCAAGCUUAAUCUAUAUUCGCUCAUUAGGAGGCCCAUGGCAAGACUGCUCUUUUGAACUCAGUUUGAAUUCAAUAAAUCAUCUCUUAGGCUAUAGUACAUAAGGGGUAUUUCAACCAAACUAUAUUUUUUUGCAUACUAUAGAUACCAAAUUACUUUUAAGAUUCAUUUUAUAUGUAUGUGUGUUUGUGUGAAUUGUAUACACUGUGUAUAUUAGAGGAGGGAGGCCUCCGCAGAGGCCAGGAGAGGGUGUCAAACCUCCUGGAGCUGGAAUCACAAGAACUGAACCCAGGUCCUCUAGAGGGGUAGUACGCACUCUUAACCUUGGAUCCAAAUCUCCAGCAAAUUACUUUAGUAAUAAAGCACAUACUAGAAGUAUAAAACUGUAAACAAGUACCACGUGAUCUGAACAGGAUAAAACCCAACCCAUUUCCAUUUAAACGUUUCCUUGAAGAAUUUUUAACCAUUUCUCAUCAAAAAGCAACAGCAACCUAGGACCCCAGAAAACUGCCAUGCUGCCAAGCAGCAGGCCCGAAAGAGGCCUCCAAGCAAGUAAGUACCCCUCAGUUCCAAAUUCUGACACAAACUUCAGGCAUUUCCCCCAAGAGAUAAAAGGCUCUUGGUGGUAUUUACUUUGGGCUGUAACAUGGCUGUUUUACUUACCAUUUGGAAGUCAGAGGAGACUGUAAGCUUUUGUCCACAGGAGCCAUUAACACCUGGUGGUUUACAAUAUCUAGAUACUUCUCAAUGUGAAUCUGUUAGAGAGAAGUCAAAGCUCAGGCCAUUAUGGUGGAUGUAAAAGACUCAGCUAAUUUACUUCAUUUCAUUAGGUCAAUACUUUGAUUCGUGUAAUUAAGCCCCCCCAAAAUGCAUAAAACAUUGUGUGUUAUUACAUGCCUAAGGUAUCAUUAGGCACCUCAAGGCCAAAUUACUUCAAAUGUCCCAAAAAACAUAAGGAACAAUUGAGACUCAAAGCUUACGUAACCCGCAGCCCUCAUCACAAAUGAAACUGCAUCGACGUCAGUAGACAGCCUGGCUAUGGAGAUCUGACCCGGCACACUGACAUGGAAUAAAAAUGUCUUUGUCCUACAUGAGCUGCAAGCAGUCAUCUGAGGAAGACAGCCUGGUGGUCCCCCUAAACCCAGCCCUGCUAAAGAACGACAUAGGGUCCCGUGACAACCACCAGUUCUUCCUUCUCUUUCUGGGAUCUAAUUGCCUGCCCAAAGCUUUACUUACUUUUAAUCCCGUUUCGGUCCUUUGGAUUGCUGUCUCAAGAUUUUGAAUGUCUAGGGGGUCUUUUGUCUCCUCACUUGAGAAUUUUGUUAAUUUCUCCUUUA